rnacentral:rRNA from 1 species
GAUGAACGCUGGCGGCGUGCCUAAUACAUGCAAGUCGAGCGAACAGACGAGGAGCUUGCUCCUCUGACGUUAGCGGCGGACGGGUGAGUAACACGUGGAUAACCUACCUAUAAGACUGGGAUAACUUCGGGAAACCGGAGCUAAUACCGGAUAAUAUAUUGAACCGCAUGGUUCAAUAGUGAAUGACGGUUUUGCUGUUACUGAUAGAUGGAUCCGAGCCGCAGUAUCUAGUUGGUAAGGUAACGGCUUACUAAGGCAACGAUGCGUAGCCGACCUGAGAGGGUGAUCGGCCACACUGGAACUGAGACACGGUCCAGACUCAUACGGGAGGCAGCAGUAGGGAAUCUGCCGCAAUGGGCGAAAGCCUGACGGAGCAACGCCGCGUGAGUGAUGAAGGUCUUCGGAUCGUAAAACUCUGUUAUUAGGGAAGAACAAAUGUGUAAGUAACUAUGCACGUCUUGACGGUACCUAAUCAGAAAGCCACGGCUAACUACGUG